rnacentral:rRNA from 1 species
UACAGAGGUCCCAAGCGUUGUUCGGAUUCACUGGGCGUAAAGGGUGCGUAGGCGGUCGGGUAAGUCUGACGUGAAAUCUUCAAGCUUAACUUGGAAACUGCGUCGGAUACUAUUCGGCUAGAGGAAUGGAGGGGAGACUGGAAUACUUGGUGUAGCAGUGAAAUGCGUAGAUAUCUGGAGGAACACCGGUGGCGAAGGCGGCAUCCUGGACCGACACUGACGCUGAGGCGCGAAAGCUAGGGGAGCAAACGGG